GGCCUGAUGGUGUAGUGGUACAUCUCUUUAAUUGCUUGUGAUGACAGCAUGUUUUAUGAGGAAGCCCCCAGUUCGAACCUGGGUCAGGCCA